GAUGAAGAACGUAGCGAAAUGCGAUAAGUAGUGUGAAUUGCAGAAUUCAGUGAAUCAUCGAAUCUUUGAACGCACAUUGCGCCCCUUGGUAUUCCAUGGGGCAUGCCUGUUCGAGCGUCAUUUGUACCUUCAAGCUUUGCUUGGUGUUGGGUGUUUGUCCUGAGGGACUCGCCUUAAAGUAAUUGGCAGCCAGUGUUUUGGUUUUGAAGCGCAGCACAAGUCGCGAUUCAAGGCUAUACGGCAGCUUCCACAAGCCUUUUUCACUUUUGACCUCGGAUCAGGUAGGGAUACCCGCUGAACUUAAGCAUAUCAAUAAGCGGAGGA
rnacentral:misc_RNA from 1 species